CCCGCGGUCAGAAACCCACGCGAGAACGGGCUCUCCUAUCUCUCCCUCGCCUCCCGAUCCCAGCCGCCAGGAGGCGCCCCACCCCACGCGGCGGUCGAUCCGGUGCCGCGCCGGCGAACCGGCCGGCGAUCCGGAGGAGCUCGCGGCCAGGUUGGCAGCCGGGGGCCCCGGCGGACCAGGAGGAGGAGGAGGACGCGGGCCUGAGCGGACCGGGAGGAGGACGCGGGCCUGGGCGGACCGGGAGGAGGAGGAGGACGCGGGCCUGGGCGCCGUGCCAGUGGUCGUCGCGGUGCUGGCCGAGCCCGGCGCGUCACCGGCCGCGCUCGUCCAUGCGGCGGCCGCGGCGGGGAGCUUUGCUUGCGGCAUAGACGAUGGCGCGUGGGCCGUGCUUGCUGCUGGCGCCGUGGGGCACCUUACGCGGCUCCCCGCCCACCCGCACGGCAAGUCUGUACAUUGGCCACAACCGGAUCCACAGGGAAGAGGUGCUCGAGAUGGAGGAGGACAUCCAGAUUGAGGUGGGAGGUCGAUACCGAUGCGGUCCUGGGAGGCGUGCACGAGAUCGAAGGCGGGCAGCUCCGGAAGGCAGACGGUGGCAUCGCCUCACUCUCUAAAUUUACACUUAUCUAGAAUCCAAUGCUUCAUGACCAUGGCAAUAUUGGCUUGACAAAAACGAUAUAUAAAGUAGUAUCUAUCUUCUUUUCAGUUGUAUGAAUUUGGAACUGAAUUCUAAUGGCAUACAGUUGUAUGACGUGCUUUGAUUAUGCUCAAAACUGUUCAUUCCAAUACUUGAUCAGAGUGCAGAUUAUAUAGCAACAACCAUGAACUACCAUACAAUCAUCAUAUCACACAUUCCACCUAUGAGUAUGAAGAUCCGUGACAAGGCAAGAGCAAUCAGGAGGCCUUAUAUGCUUAGCUAUCUCAUCCAUUGAUGAUCUCUUUCAAGGAAUAGAAGGACUUCUUGUUCAUUUAGAGAGGAUCAAUCUUUUGAUUUUGGUACUUAAUAAACUAAAUCUUGAGCAUUGGAGGAGGUAGCCCCUGGACUGGUGAAGACGAAAAUGGGGACACGAGGAGGUUCAUGGUGGUUCCAGGCUCAUCUCUUCGGUGAGCAGCAGUGUGCUACGUUGGACAGUUACCAAGGCUGGACGGAGGUGUGCCCGUGCAGCCGGACGGUGUCGUCCUGGUCGAGCAGAUCGCCGUACCAAGGUUGCCUGCCGGACUCCAAUUCCCUACCGCUGUCAAGCUCUAGAUCAAGCUCCACAUGGACCUGUCUAUCCGUGCGAUACUGCAUUUCCCUGGUGGCCGUCUGUUCCGCUUGGCGUUUCCUCUGGAUCUGAGAGGAGAAGGCCUCAAGGAGGGAGAUGGGGAGGUUUAUGGAACCAUGGAAGUUUUCAGAUGAGAUUAGUUGAAAGAAAAGGGAAAGUUCCCAUGCUGCCAUGCGAGAGUCAGAGGUGGGUGAGUUCCCUGAUCCCCGGCUGUAGCAACAUUGGCCACCACUCUAUUCGCAUCUGUGCAGCCAAAAUCAGAUUUCAUGUAGGCGUAUCAAGCAGAUUGUGAAGAAAAUGUACCUGAAGAUGGUUCCUCAGUAUGAGAAUCCGAUUAACAUUGUCUUCAAGAAUUAAGGCAAAUUGUUUGUAUGUCAUUAACCCUCUCCUGUGAAGAUUCAGAAUCAUAAAAGAUAGUAUUCAGGUACAUGUGCGUCCGCUCGAACGCAAUCACAUUCCGGAACAGUGACUUUACCGACACGUGCAGUUAUUGGCUGCAUUCUAUUAGACAUACAGAGAGCCACACUGACAAAUUUCUAUUUAGAGGAAGAAGUAGGCACAAGUAGACUGGAAAAACACAAAACAGCGGGAGAUGUCAUGUUCAGCAGCGACAACACCAUUGCUCUUCAUGUUUUAAGUUAAACCUGUAUUACUUCAGAAUGAUUAGUCAAAGAUCGGUGAUUGUUA